GUAUGAUCGUCGUUGGUGACCAGCGGAGGGACAUUACCGAGUUUACAACUCCCAAACCCCUGUGAACAUACCAAUUGUUGCCUCGGCGGAUCAGCCCGCUCCCGGUAAAACGGGACGGCCCGCCAGAGGACCCCUAAACUCUGUUUCUAUAUGUAACUUCUGAGUAAAACCAUAAAUAAAUCAAAACUUUCAACAACGGAUCUCUUGGUUCUGGCAUCGAUGAAGAACGCAGCAAAAUGCGAUAAGUAAUGUGAAUUGCAGAAUUCAGUGAAUCAUCGAAUCUUUGAACGCACAUUGCGCCCGCCAGUAUUCUGGCGGGCAUGCCUGUUCGAGCGUCAUUUCAACCCUCAAGCCCCCGGGUUUGGUGUUGGGGAUCGGCGAGCCCUUGCGGCAAGCCGGCCCCGAAAUCUAGUGGCGGUCUCGCUGCAGCUUCCAUUGCGUAGUAGUAAAACCCUCGCAACUGGUACGCGGCGCGGCCAAGCCGUUAAACCCCCAACUUCUGAAUGUUGACCUCGGAUCAGGUAGGAAUACCCGCUGAACUUAA
rnacentral:rRNA from 1 species